UCUUCUCAGACCCAGUUUUGAGCUACGGUGAUGCUCCCUGCCCUGAGCGGGUGAGACAGAGGAGGUGUGACGGCCAGAGUGGCGGUGAGGAGAGGCAUCACAGCUCCAAGGAAAAGAAGUCAGUUAUUCCAUGGAGUCUGUGGGGCGUUAAGGGUGCCUUUUGCAAAUAUUUCUGCCUCAAAACAGCCUGCAGUCCGGUUCCUCCCUGCGGUGGGGCACCCUUCAGCUGAGACUUUUGCUGAAGUCUCCUCUCGGGGCUGGCCUCCCUGAUCCUCCACGAGACCAGAUGGGGCUCCCUUCGGUUGUCUCCGGAAACGCCCAGACAGCAGCUCAUCUCGGAGGAUGUUCAAGAGCAGCUGUGGGCUAUAACCAAGAGGAGUUAUCUUUGCAUUUUUCAUUGUUGCUUGAAGCAGAAACAAUGUAGACAUCAGUGUUGACGGAUGAUUGAAGAAAUUGGCACUAUACAAUUCAUUUGGUUAAGCUAAAAGGCUCCUCAAGUUCUCUUUAUGUUUUUCUAAUACCCUUAAACAGUAUUUUUAUAAGCAUGACAUACAAGUGUAUGGGGAUGAAAAGGAGCACAUAAAUAAAUGUGGGCUAUCCCUCACUUUAAAUAAAAGUCAUCCUGUGUUUAUA